GCCUGGGUGGCUCAGCCGGUUAAGCAUCUGACUUCGACUCAGGUCAGGAUCUCAAGGUUUGUGAGUUCGAACUUUGCCUCGGGCU
rnacentral:tRNA from 1 species